rnacentral:tRNA from 2 species
GGGCGGUUGGCGCAGCGGUAGCGCGCUUCCCUGACACGGAAGAGGUCACAGGUUCGAUCCCUGUACCGCCCACCA